GCUUAACACAUGCAAGUCGAGGGGCAGCAUGGUCUUAGCUUGCUAAGGCCGAUGGCGACCGGCGCACGGGUGAGUAACACGUAUCCAACCUGCCGUCUACUCUUGGACAGCCUUCUGAAAGGAAGAUUAAUACAAGAUGGCAUCAUGAGUCCGCAUGUUCACAUGAUUAAAGGUAUUCCGGUAGACGAUGGGGAUGCGUUCCAUUAGAUAGUAGGCGGGGUAACGGCCCACCUAGUCUUCGAUGGAUAGGGGUUCUGAGAGGAAGGUCCCCCACAUUGGAACUGAGACACGGUCCAAACUCCUACGGGAGGCAGCAGUGAGGAAUAUUGGUCAAUGGGCGAGAGCCUGAACCAGCCAAGUAGCGUGAAGGAUGACUGCCCUAUGGGUUGUAAACUUCUUUUAUAAAGGAAUAAAGUCGGGUAUGGAUACCCGUUUGCAUGUACUUUAUGAAUAAGGAUCGGCUAACUCCGUGCCAGCAGCCGCGGUAAUACGGAGGAUCCGAGCGUUAUCCGGAUUUAUUGGGUUUAAAGGGAGCGUAGAUGGAUGUUUAAGUCAGUUGUGAAAGUUUGCGGCUCAACCGUAAAAUUGCAGUUGAUACUUGAUAUCUUGAGUGCAGUUGAGGCAGGCGGAAUUCGUGGUGUAGCGGUGAAAUGCUUAGAUAUCACGAAGAACUCCGAUUGCGAAGGCAGCCUGCUAAGCUGCAACUGACAUUGAGGCUCGAAAGUGUGGGUAUCAAACAGGAUUAGAUACCCUGGUAGUCCACACGGUAAACGAUGAAUACUCGCUGUUUGCGAUAUACUGCAAGCGGCCAAGCGAAAGCGUUAAGUAUUCCACCUGGGGAGUACGCCGGCAACGGUGAAACUCAAAGGAAUUGACGGGGGCCCGCACAAGCGGAGGAACAUGUGGUUUAAUUCGAUGAUACGCGAGGAACCUUACCCGGGCUUAAAUUGCAGAUGAAUUACGGUGAAAGCCGUAAGCCGCAAGGCAUCUGUGAAGGUGCUGCAUGGUUGUCGUCAGCUCGUGCCGUGAGGUGUCGGCUUAAGUGCCAUAACGAGCGCAACCCUUGUUGUCAGUUACUAACAGGUUCCGCUGAGGACUCUGACAAGACUGCCAUCGUAAGAUGUGAGGAAGGUGGGGAUGACGUCAAAUCAGCACGGCCCUUACGUCCGGGGCUACACACGUGUUACAAUAGGGGGUACAGAGGGCCGCUACCACGCGAGUGGAUGCCAAUCCCCAAAACCUCUCUCAGUUCGGACUGGAGUCUGCAACCCGACUCCACGAAGCUGGAUUCGCUAGUAAUCGCGCAUCAGCCACGGCGCGGUGAAUACGUUCCCGGGCCUUGUACACACCGCCCGUCAAGCCAUGGGAGCCGGGGGUACCUGAAGUGCGUAACCGCGAGGAGCGCCCUAGGGUAAAACUGGUGACUGGGGC
rnacentral:rRNA from 1 species